rnacentral:lncRNA from 1 species
GACCAGCAGAUCUUCCAGUUCUUCCUUCUCUCUCUGUUCCGAUCACUGGGCCACUGGCCACUUCCAGGAAUCUGCAUAUGUGCGACAUUCGCUCACUUUUCACUUCCAUGCAACAUGGAUGACCGGCCUGACCUGACCGCAGGAGAGCAUGUGCUGAGAAUGUGGCCCUCACAUGUUCCUGGCCAAUGUGACAGCAGUUUAUAUAAAUAAAUAAGGUAUUGCUCUGGUGCGGAGUCUGUUACAUAAGUACCUCUCGCUGACUAGUCGUGCCACUGGGGUUCUGUGGCAUCAGUUUGUGUAUGUUUUAGCACUUGUGAAUCAGGCUCUUAGAGCCUGAUCACCCUUCAUAGGACAGGAGUUAGUGCCAGGGUCUUCUACACAGGCCAGAGCAUCCUGGUUUUCUUCCUUCCUUCCUGUCUAUCUAUCUAUCUAUCUAUCUAUCUAUCUAUCUAUCUAUCUAUCUAUCUUCUAUCUCUAUAAAGUCUGUCAUAGUCAACUCUGCUAUAGUAAUAAAAAUGAUGCCAUAGAUAAAACUUAAAGAACACAUCUCUAUUCCAUUAAAACUUUAAGUAUAUAAUACUUAGGUGCACG